rnacentral:lncRNA from 1 species
CCACCCAGGCGUACGGGAGCGUGUAGCCGACCAUCGACGGGAAGGUGAAGUAGUGGAAGCCGCAGACGGCGCGGCAGAAAUCCUGCACGGCGACGUCCUCGGAGGUCAGAAUCAGGUAGAUUCCGUUCUUGUGGUCCACCGGGAACGGCGCGGCGCGGACCGCGCUAGCAAUCACCUGCUGGAUCGAGAGGCGCGUGAGCUGCGCGCCGUGUGAGUACCUCUGAUCCGCGUACUCGCCGGCGAUCAGCACCGAUCUCGACACGUUGGCGCCGGUCUGGUCAGUGUACAGAGACACCGUGCGCCACCACUCCGCGACGGAGGGGGAGGCGGCAGCUCGG